UGCUAAAGACAUGGAAGGCUCUGUGGUGU
rnacentral:piRNA from 1 species